ACGAACGCUGGCGGCGUGCCUAAUACAUGCAAGUCGAACGCUUCUUUUUCCACCGGAGCUUGCUCCACCGGAAAAAGAGGAGUGGCGAACGGGUGAGUAACACGUGGGUAACCUGCCCAUCAGAAGGGGAUAACACUUGGAAACAGGUGCUAAUACCGUAUAACAAUCGAAACCGCAUGGUUUUGAUUUGAAAGGCGCUUUCGGGUGUCGCUGAUGGAUGGACCCGCGGUGCAUUAGCUAGUUGGUGAGGUAACGGUUCACCAAGGCGACGAUGCAUAGCCGACCUGAGAGGGUGAUCGGCCACAUUGGGACUGAGACACGGCCCAAACUCCUACGGGAGGCAGCAGUAGGGAAUCUUCGGCAAUGGACGAAAGUCUGACCGAGCAACGCCGCGUGAGUGAAGAAGGUUUUCGGAUCGUAAAACUCUGUUGUUAGAGAAGAACAAGGAUGAGAGUAACUGUUCAUCCCUUGACGGUAUCUAACCAGAAAGCCACGGCUAACUACGUGCCAGCAGCCGCGGUAAUACGUAGGUGGCAAGCGUUGUCCGGAUUUAUUGGGCGUAAAGCGAGCGCAGGCGGUUUCUUAAGUCUGAUGUGAAAGCCCCCGGCUCAACCGGGGAGGGUCAUUGGAAACUGGGAGACUUGAGUGCAGAAGAGGAGAGUGGAAUUCCAUGUGUAGCGGUGAAAUGCGUAGAUAUAUGGAGGAACACCAGUGGCGAAGGCGGCUCUCUGGUCUGUAACUGACGCUGAGGCUCGAAAGCGUGGGGAGCAAACAGGAUUAGAUACCCUGGUAGUCCACGCCGUAAACGAUGAGUGCUAAGUGUUGGAGGGUUUCCGCCCUUCAGUGCUGCAGCUAACGCAUUAAGCACUCCGCCUGGGGAGUACGACCGCAAGGUUGAAACUCAAAGGAAUUGACGGGGGCCCGCACAAGCGGUGGAGCAUGUGGUUUAAUUCGAAGCAACGCGAAGAACCUUACCAGGUCUUGACAUCCUUUGACCACUCUAGAGAUAGAGCUUCCCCUUCGGGGGCAAAGUGACAGGUGGUGCAUGGUUGUCGUCAGCUCGUGUCGUGAGAUGUUGGGUUAAGUCCCGCAACGAGCGCAACCCUUAUUGUUAGUUGCCAUCAUUUAGUUGGGCACUCUAGCAAGACUGCCGGUGACAAACCGGAGGAAGGUGGGGAUGACGUCAAAUCAUCAUGCCCCUUAUGACCUGGGCUACACACGUGCUACAAUGGGAAGUACAACGAGUCGCAAAGUCGCGAGGCUAAGCUAAUCUCUUAAAGCUUCUCUCAGUUCGGAUUGUAGGCUGCAACUCGCCUACAUGAAGCCGGAAUCGCUAGUAAUCGCGGAUCAGCACGCCGCGGUGAAUACGUUCCCGGGCCUUGUACACACCGCCCGUCACACCACGAGAGUUUGUAACACCCGAAGUCGGUGAGGUAACCUUUUGGAGCCAGCCGCCUAAGGUGGGAUAGAUGAUUGGGGUG
rnacentral:rRNA from 1 species